rnacentral:rRNA from 1 species
AACGAACGCUGGCGGCAUGCCUAACACAUACAAGUCGAACGAGACCUUCGGGUCUAGUGGCGCACGGGUGCGUAACGCGUGGGAACCUGCCCUUAGGUUCGGAAUAACUCCCCGAAAGGGGUGCUAAUACCGGAUAAUGUCUUCGGACCAAAGAUUUAUCGCCUUUGGAUGGGCCCGCGUUGGAUUAGCUAGUUGGUAGGGUAAAAGCCUACCAAGGCGACGAUCCAUAGCUGGUCUGAGAGGAUGAUCAGCCACACUGGGACUGAGACACGGCCCAGACUCCUACGGGAGGCAGCAGUGGGGAAUAUUGGACGAUGGGCGAAAGCCUGAUCCAGCAAUGCCGCGUGAGUGAUGAAGGCCUUAGGGUUGUAAAGCUCUUUUACCCGGGAUGAUAAUGACAGUACCGGGAGAAUAAGCUCCGGCUAACUCCGUG